AGCGACGCCGCGUGGGGGAUGACGGCCUUCGGGUUGUAAACUCCUUUCACCAUCGACGAAGGGUUUCUGACGGUAGAUGGAGAAGAAGCACCGGCUAACUACGUGCCAGCAGCCGCGGUAAUACGUAGGGUGCGAGCGUUGUCCGGAAUUACUGGGCGUAAAGAGCUCGUAGGUGGUUUGUCGCGUCGUCUGUGAAAUUCCGGGGCUUAACUCCGGGCGUGCAGGCGAUACGGGCAUAACUUGAGUACUGUAGGGGAGACUGGAAUUCCUGGUGUAGCGGUGAAAUGCGCAGAUAUCAGGAGGAACACCGGUGGCGAAGGCGGGUCUCUGGGCAGUAACUGACGCUGAGGAGCGAAAGCAUGGGGAGCGAACAGGAUUAGAUACCCUGGUAGUCCAUGCCGUAAACGGUGGGCGCUAGGCGUGGGUUUCCUUCCACGGGAUCCGUGCCGUAGCUAACGCAUUAAGCGCCCCGCCUGGGGAGUACGGCCGCAAGCUAA
rnacentral:rRNA from 1 species